AUUGAACGCUAGCGGGAUGCUUUACUCAUGCCAGUCGCACGAGUGGCGGACGGGUGAGUAAUAUAUCGUCACGUGCCCAGUAGCGGGGGCUAACUACUCGAAACAGUGGCUAAUACCGCAUAAUAUUGGAGCUGCCUAUAUCGGAUUAGCUAGUUGGUGGGGUAAAGGCUCACCAAGGCACCGCUCCGUAGCUGGUUUGAGAGGACGACCAGCCACACUGGGACUGAGACACGGCCCAGACUCCUACGGGAGGCAGCAGUGGGGAAUUUUGGACAAUGGGGGAAACCCUGAUCCAGCCAUCCCGCGUGUAUGAGAAGGCCUUCGGGUUGUAAAGUACUUUUGGCAGAGAAGCGGUAUCUGCAGAAUAAGCAACGGCUAAAAACGGGCAAGCAGCCGCGGUAAUUC
rnacentral:rRNA from 1 species